UAAAAAUAGAAUGUAAUUUUUCUAAGGAACUAACCAUAGAAUGGUGAUAACUUGCUUUUUAGGAGGGCCACGGAACUCAUCAUUCGUCUUAUGCUCCAAAAUCCAAACAACUGCUCCUACAACAAGAAAAAAUAUACCUGUAACACACCACAUCAUUGGAGUAAA